GAUUAAGCUACUAAGAGCUUACGGUGGAUGCCUUGGCGUUAAGUGCCGAUGAAGGACGUGGGACACUGCGAUAAGCCUCGGGGAGCCGUGUACAGGCGCCGAUCCGAGGAUGUCCGAAUGGGGAAACCUGCCGUUGCGAACCAACGGCGUCUCCUGGUUGAACACAUAGACCAGCAGACGGGAACCUGGGGAACUGAAACAUCUAAGUACCCAGAGGAAAAGAAAUAAUUUCCCGAGUAGUGGCGAGCGAAAGGGAAACAGCCCAAACCGGUCUGGCUUGCCGGACCGGGGUUGUAGGGCCUGGCAUAUAGGAGUUACAAAACGACCUGCUAGCAGAAUGGUGUGGGACAGCCAACCAAAGAGGGUUAUAGUCCCGUAUGCGAAAGUUGGUCGACUCCUGUCAGGUACCUGAGUACUGCCGGGCACGCUAAUCCGGUAGGAAGCUGGGGAGUCCACUCUCCAAGGCUAAAUACACUUAACGACCGAUAGUGAACAAGUACCGUGAGGGAAAGGUGAAAAGUUCCCCGGUGAGGGGAGUGAAAUAGAUCCUGAAACCGUAAGCUUACAAGCAGUCAGAGGGCUAAUGGCGGGUCUGUGCGCCGGCGAAAGCCGGAUGCGCGCCGCUAUGCCUGAUGGCGUGCCUUUUGGAGAAUGAGCCUGCGAGUUAAUCUUUGUGGCAAGGUUAAGGGAGUUACACCCGAAGCCGUAGCGAAAGCGAGUCUGAAUAGGGCGUAUAGUCGCAAGGAUUAGACACGAAACCUGGUG
rnacentral:ncRNA from 1 species